UACGGAGGGGGCUAGCGUUGUUCGGAAUUACUGGGCGUAAAGCGCACGUAGGCGGGUCGUUAAGUCAGGGGUGAAAUCCCGGAGCUCAACUCCGGAACUGCCUUUGAUACUGAAGAUCUUGAGUUCGGGAGAGGUGAGUGGAACUGCGAGUGUAGAGGUGAAAUUCGUAGAUAUUCGCAAGAACACCAGUGGCGAAGGCGGCUCACUGGCCCGAUACUGACGCUGAGGCACGAAAGCGUGGGGAGCAAACAGG
rnacentral:rRNA from 1 species